AUUGAACGCUGGCGGCAUGCCUUACACAUGCAAGUCGAACGGCAGCGGGGGAGAAGCUUGCUUUUCCUGCCGGCGAGUGGCGAACGGGUGAGUAAUACAUCGGAACGUGCCCUGUAGUGGGGGAUAACUAGUCGAAAGAUUAGCCAAUACCGCAUACGACCUGAGGGUGAAAGUGGGGGACCGCAAGGCCUCAUGCUAUAGGAGCGGCCGAUGUCUGAUUAGCUAGUUGGUGGGGUAAAGGCCUACCAAGGCGACGAUCAGUAGCUGGUCUGAGAGGACGAUCAGCCACACUGGGACUGAGACACGGCCAGACUCCUACGGGAGGCAGCAGUGGGGAAUUUUGGACAAUGGGCGAAAGCCUGAUCCAGCAAUGCCGCGUGUGUGAAGAAGGCCUUCGGGUUGUAAAGCACUUUUGUCCGGAAAGAAAUGGCUCUGGUUAAUACCUGGGGUCGAUGACGGUACCGGAAGAAUAAGGACCGGCUAACUACGAGCCAGCCGCCGCAGUAA
rnacentral:rRNA from 1 species